rnacentral:rRNA from 1 species
CCUACGGGGGGCUGCAGUGGGGAAUAUUGGACAAUGGGGGCAACCCUGAUCCAGCCAUGCCGCGUGUGUGAAGAAGGCCCUCGGGUUGUAAAGCACUUUCAGUGAGGAAGAACGCCUGGUGGUUAAUACCCAUCAGGAAAGACAUCACUCACAGAAGAAGCACUGGCUAACUCCGUGCCAGCAGCCGCGGUAAUACGGAGGGUGCGAGCGUUAAUCGGAAUUACUGGGCGUAAAGCGCGCGUAGGUGGCUUGAUAAGCCGGUUGUGAAAGCCCCGGGCUCAACCUGGGAACGGCAUCCGGAACUGUCAAGCUAGAGUGCAGGAGAGGAAGGUAGAAUUCCCGGUGUAGCGGUGAAAUGCGUAGAGAUCGGGAGGAAUACCAGUGGCGAAGGCGGCCUUCUGGACUGACACUGACACUGAGGUGCGAAAGCGUGGGUAGCAAACAGGAUUAGAUACCCGAGUAGUC